GAUGAACGCUGGCGGCGUCCCUAAUACAUGCAAGUCGAGCGAACAGACGAGGAGCUUGCUCCUCUGACGUUAGCGGCGGACGGUGGAGUAACACGUGGAUAACCUACCUAUAAGACUGGGAUAACUUCGGGAAACCGGAGCUAAUACCGGAUAAUAUAUUUAACCGCAUGGUUCAAUAUUGAAAGACGGUUUUGCUGUCACUUAUAGAUGGAUCCGCGCCGCAUUAGCUAGUUGGUAAGGUAACGGCUUACCAAGGCAACGAUGCGUAGCCGACCUGAGAGGGUGAUCGGCCACACUGGAACUGAGACACGGUCCAGACUCCUACGGGAGGCAGCAGUAGGGAAUCUUCCGCAAUGGGCGAAAGCCUGACGGAGCAACGCCGCGUGAGUGAUGAAGGUCUUUGGAUCGUAAAACUCUGUUAUUAGGGAAGAACAAAUGUGUAAGUAACUAUGCACGUCUUGACGGUACCUAAUCAGAAAGCCACGGCUAACUACGUG
rnacentral:rRNA from 1 species